GACAGAGGUGCCAAGCGUUAGGCGGAAUCACUGGGCUUAAAGCGUGUGUAGGCGGAUCGUUAAGUACCUUGUGAAAUCCCACGGCUUAACCGUGGAACUGCUCGGUAUACUGGCGGUCUUGAGCAACCUAGGGGCGAGCGGAACAAAUGGUGGAGCGGUGAAAUGCGUAGAUAUCAUUUGGAACGCCAAUGGUGAAAACAGCUCGCUGGGGGUUUGCUGACGCUGAGACACGAAAGCCAGGGGAGCGAACAGG
rnacentral:rRNA from 1 species